UUUUAUUCGGUUGACGCAGUCAAACUGAAUUGGCGUGAUCAAAUCUUUUUCCCUCGAAGCAUACAGUUCCUGUUCAGAAAAUCGGCUUGAUGCAUUUUUUAUCAGCAAUUCAGACUGCGGCUUUUAUGCAUUUAUAGGAAAAAUGUAUGUAAAAAUGUUGAUAUGUUAAUUAGAACUUAUUAAAAUUAUUUAAGAGAGAAACAAGAUUGCACUUGGCUCCUACAUCUUGCAAUUGAUGCACACAAUUUUGAUUUUGCUUAAUGAUUCGCGGUCCAGUCAUUACUAUUAUUGUAGUUUAAUUUCAUUUACGGUAGCGGAAUAUAGAAUCAGGAAACAACAAGAGGAGACCUUCGCAUACACGCUAUCGAUAUUCAUUCGCAUUUACGUAUGUAUCACAUUGCGAUAAUAACAACGGAAGGAGCAACGUAUGUUUGCUACAAGUAUAACGCGUUGGCUCGGUGUAGCGAUCAAAUCGUUACUAGAAUUUUCAAAAAGGAGGAUACACGUGUUGGACAAUCUGAAAAGAAAACGUUGUUAUCAUUACAUUGCGUUUCAACUGGACCGAUCAUUUGGUGGAGAUCGACACCUUAUUACGACGCAAGAAUAAAUAAUGUAUGUUUUAAUAAAAAUGCUGCAUCUAGUAUUUUAAA